GGGCCAGUCAUCUAACAAACAGCAGCUCACAGGGCACUGUGGUUGGGGGUGGUGGAGAGGACGCUGCCUUUCAGCCGGCCACAUCCCCUUUGGCCUACUCUGCACAUGCAUCAUCUCUGGGAGUCAGAAAUAACCAGAUACUAGGUGUGAAGCCACGGUGCUCGUGAACUCGAACCCCUACAAGGCACAAGGUUGGGCAGAGGUCCGGGCGCCUUAGUAGCCCAGCUCCGCCUUCCCCAAGAACUUCCCAGGACCACCCAGCUGCCAAACCCUCCUCCAACCGCAACCAAGAGCCGCCGAAAACAAUUAGGAGUAACGACUGCGCUUGCGCAGGGCGGCAGAGGCGGGGCAAGCGACGGCGCCGAGGAGAUGCCGGAAGACAGGGCCUAUGUGCGCAGACGCGACGGGGACGGAAGGAACGCGUGGAAGCUCUUCCGGGGCGCGGCAGUUUGUCGGGGCGGGGGUACGGGGUCGGGGUGAACUCUACUUUUCUUCUUCAUGAGGUCGAGGGGUUGAUGUUAGCGGCUUCUACUCGUUUUCUUUCGGUAUUGACUGUGGCAGCGAUGGAGAUUAACCCGCCCGUACCAUGCUGCCGGGGCUUCACCCAGAUUAGUCCCAGCUACUCUCCACUGUUCACCUGCCAUCUGGUCCCGACUCGUAAGGAGCACAUUUUAGCUGCUGAGGAGAGAAAGGGGGGCUAGGAAUAUCUCAAACCUGAGUAGGCCGUAAGACGUGGAGACAGGGGCAGUGGGGAGCGACUCCAGAGAGGAAGUGGGGUUCUACUUGGGGUCUUGAAAACGGCAGGUCGGCAAAGGGCAUGGAAAUUUAGACUGAGAAGAGAGGGUUCUGCAGACGGGGAAAAGGAGGUAGGAUGCACGAGAUAGGAUGUGGAGGCAGAUGCCUGGUUGAAGGGAAGGGUUCUACUGCAGCGUUUGUAGCCUGGUUGGUAAAGUUAUAACUUGGUUUGCUUUGUGGCCCCUGUCCCACACGGCAAGGUGUUAAAGGGUAGGCCCUGGGCUUACUGAUAAAUAGAAACGAUAAUGGUCUGCUCUCUUAAAAAGUGGUUUCAUUUUUGAUUUUUCAGUUGAAUUAAUUCAGCCUCUAGAGGUUGCUUUACCUUCAUUGCACAAUAUAAUCAGUCUGUAAGAGCUGAGUUUUUUGACUUUGAGAAUACUGUUCUUAAAUUCAUCUACCCUUUUACUUUAUCAGACUGUAUAGUGGCGUGAGCUUCUCGAGGCCAAAUCUAUUUUCCAGUUAGUUUUUGUCUCGAGUUUGGUUGUCCUCCAGACCUUGAAUGGACUGAAUUUGUUAUCUAGUAGCGGAAGUUAGGAGAUUGCCCACUUGUCCCUCUUCAUUCCUUUGUAACGAAUAAUGGGGUGGUUUGGCCCAUAUAGGUAAUCCUGUAUGCUUACAUCUAUUAUAAAUUGUCUUCAUGGUUAUCAAACAGAAUUAAAAAUAUAAUUGUGUGUGA